CAAAACUUUCGAGGCCUCACUUAGCAAAAAUACUGCGUUACUUUCGAUUAGCAAUAAGGGAUGUUUUACUAACGUGAUAGCAAUAUGCUUGUUUUACUUGGAUUUAGUAAAAAAGCGGGCUUACUAGCCGCUUUGUUCGGAUAGCAGCCGCCGGCUACUAGAAAAAAAAAACAAUUCGACGCGAAUCUGUGCGCUUGACAAAAAUAGGUAGAUGUUGGCGGAACCUGUGGAGACGGGGCUAACAAAGUCAGCGACCAUAGUGUAUACAGGAAGAAACCAAUGAACGAACGGUUGUUGGGCGGUUACGAAAACGGGCUCACUGCUGGCGGAGCAUUUGAUUGUCAAGUGGACGACGGAACGGUGGAUUAAUUGAUAUCGGAAGUGUACAGGUUGCUUCUGCCGGCCAUCAUUGCCACAAUGAUCGACAGAAAGGAAGC